GUGUGAUGUGACGUAGUGGAA
rnacentral:miRNA from 1 species